AGCUUAUCUCAAUGUUUACGAUCUGACGUCGAUUAAUGGCUACGCAUACUGGCUCGGCCUUGGGGUCUACCAUUCCGGCGUGCAAGGAUUUUCGGUGCUAAGAUAGUAAAGGAAGAUGAAUGAGAGAAACGAAAAGCUAGGUUUUUAACGGCUAAUUGAACUUGGGGCUGUCA